GCCGAAGUGGUGAAAUUGGUAGACGCAGCGGACUCAAAAUCCGCCGAGCUUCGGCUCAUGCCGGUUCGAUUCCGGCCUUCGGCACCA
rnacentral:tRNA from 2 species